ACACCUACGGGUGGCAGCAGUCGAGAAUUUUUCACAAUGGGGGAAACCCUGAUGGAGCGACGCCGCGUGGAGGACGAAGGGCUUUGUGCUUGUAAACUCCUGUCAAGCGGGAACAAGAAAGUGAUAGUACCGUUAGAGGAAGAGACGGCUAACUCUGUGCCAGCAGCCGCGGUAAUACAGAGGUCUCAAGCGUUGUUCGGAUUUAUUGGGCGUAAAGGGUGCGUAGGCGGUAUAGCAAGUCGAGUGUGAAAUCUCGGAGCUUAACUCCGAAACUGCACUCGAUACUAUUAUACUAGAGGAUUGUAGAGGAGAUCGGAAUUUACGGUGUAGCAGUGAAAUGCGUAGAUAUCGUGAGGAAGACCAGUUGCGAAAGCGGAUCUCUAGGCAACUCCUGACGCUGAGGCACGAAGGCUAGGGGAGCAAACGGGAUUAGAUACCCCGGUAGUCCUAGCAAUAAACGGUGCAUGUUUGGUAUAGGCAGCUUCGACCCUGUCUGUGCCGAAGCUAAGGCGUUAAACAUGCCGCCUGAGAAGUACGGCCGCAAGGUUAAAACUCAAAGAAAUUGACGGGGGCCCGCACAAGCGGUGGAGUAUGUGGCUUAAUUCGAUGCAACGCGAAGAACCUUACCUGACCUUGACAUGUGGUAUGACAACCGAUGAAAAUCGGUGACGGUUCCGCAAGGAAUGCUGGGGCUACACAGGUGCUGCAUGGCUGUCGUCAGCUCGUGUCGUGAGAUGUUGGGUUAAGUCCCGCAACGAGCGCAACCCCUAUGAGUUGUUGCCUACCCUGUAAAAAGGGAGCUCUCUACUCAGACUGCCCUGUGAAACGGGGAGGAAGGUGGGGAUGACGUCAAGUCAGCAUGGCCCUUACGGUCAGGGCUGCACACGUACUACAAUGCACACUACAGAAUGAUCCAAAAUUGUGAGAUAGAGGUAAUCCUUAAAAGUGUGCCCAGUUCGGAUUGUAGGCUGCAACUCGCCUACAUGAAGCCGGAAUCGCUAGUAAUGGCGUAUCAGCCACGGCG
rnacentral:rRNA from 1 species